GAUGAACGCUGGCGGCGUGCCUAAUACAUGCAAGUCGAGCGAACAGACGAUGAGCUUGCUCCUCUGACGUUAGCGGCGGACGGGUGAGUAACACGUGUAUAACCUACCUAUCAGACUGGUAUAACUUCGGGAAACCGGAGCUAAUACCGUAUAAUAUAUUGAACCGCAUGGUUCAAUAGUGAAAGACGGUGUUGCUGUCUCUUAUAGAUGGAUCCGCGCCGCAUUAGCUAGUUGUUAAGGUAACGGCUUACCAAGGCAACGAUGCGUAGCCGACCUGAGAGAGUGGUCGGCCACACUGGAACGGAGCCACGGUCCAGACUCCUACGGGAGGCAGCAGUAGGGAAUCUUACGCAGAGGGCGAAAGCCUGACGGAGCAACGCCGCGUGAGUGACGAAGGUCUUCGGAUCGUAAAACUCUGUUAUUAGGGAAGAACAAAUGUGUACGUAACUAUGCACGUAUUGACGGUACCUGAUCAGAAAGCCACGGCUAACUACGUG
rnacentral:rRNA from 1 species